UACGUAGGUGACCAGCGUUGUCCGGAUUUACUGGGCGUAAAGAGCGCGCAGGCGGUCGUCCAAGUCGAGUGUGAAAGCCCCCGGCUCAACUGGGGAGGGUCAUUCGAAACUGAUCGACUGGAAGGCAGGAGAGGGAAGCGGAAUUCCCGGUGUAGUGGUGAAAUGCGUAGAUAUCAGGAGGAACACCAGUGGCGAAGGCGGCUUCCUGGCCUGUUCUUGACGCUGAGGCGCGAAAGCUAGGGGAGCAAACGGG
rnacentral:rRNA from 1 species